CGGGCUGGAGGGCCGCGGGUCCGCUGGCCGCGCAGUAGGGGAAACUGAGGCCCGGCCGGCCGCCGAGGGGCUGCCCGCGUCCGCGGCGGUCGUGCCGCGGGGCUCCCGCACCCAGACCCCACUUUUUGACGGUUUUAGCCGCGGUGGUCCUUGGGCAGAGCCAGGCCGGCAGCGGGUAAGCAUGCUUUAAUUCCGUGCUUCCACGUGUUUCUGCAAGUACCCUGUCCAGGGCACGCGGGAGGGUGCGUGACAUAAAUUAAGGACUGGAAGUCGGAUGCGCCGCCACCGCCAACGCUGCUGCCGUCGCCCCUCGGAACCCGCGGGGCUGCGGGUGCUCCUGGAAUCCAGGAUUUUUUUUUUUUUUUUGGUGUCUGUAAUUCUAAAGGUCUUGCUUCUGUGGAUCAGCGGUGUGUUUAAGUUAUUCUUCUUACUGCUUCUCUCUCUAUUGAAAGAGAGACAAGGGGGAGAGGGAGAUCUUUCGUGCACUGGGUCGCUUACCAAGCGGCCAACAGCCGGGAGCCAGGAGCCCGGAGCUCCAUCCGGGCCUCCCACGUGGGUGCAGGCGCCCGAGCGCCCAUCAGGUGUCAGCAGGAAGCCGGAUCUGGAGCGGAGCAGCCAGGACUGGAACCUGCGCUCCCGGGUGGAUGCCGCCCGCAAGCUGCAGCUUAAGGCUGCCCACAGGCCAGCCCCUCCUGUACCGCUGAAGGUUGUGUACGGGAAUAACUAUGCUAAUUUUACGUCUCCUUAAUUAGUAACCAUUAAAUAGUUCAUCCUUUUCUUGUUAA